CAUGCAAGUCGAACGAAGGCUUCGGCCUUAGUGGCGCACGGGUGCGUAACGCGUGGGAAUCUGCCCUCAGGUUCGGAAUAACAGCGAGAAAUUGCUGCUAAUACCGGAUGAUAUCGCGAGAUCAAAGAUUUAUCGCCUGAGGAUGAGCCCGCGUAGGAUUAGCUAGUUGGUGUGGUAAAGGCGCACCAAGGCGACGAUCCUUAGCUGGUCUGAGAGGAUGAUCAGCCACACUGGGACUGAGACACGGCCCAGACUCCUACGGGAGGCAGCAGUGGGGAAUAUUGGACAAUGGGCGAAAGCCUGAUCCAGCAAUGCCGCGUGAGUGAUGAAGGCCUUAGGGUUGUAAAGCUCUUUUACCCGGGAUGAUAAUGACAGUACCGGGAGAAUAAGCUCCGGCUAACUCCGUGCCAGCAGCCGCGGUAGUACGGAGGGAGCUAGCGUUAUUCGGAAUUACUGGGCGUAAAGCGCACGUAGGCGGCUUUGUAAGUUAGAGGUGAAAGCCUGGAGCUCAACUCCAGAAUUGCCUUUAAGACUGCAUCGCUUGAAUCC
rnacentral:rRNA from 1 species